rnacentral:misc_RNA from 1 species
GAUGAAGAACGCAGCGAAAUGCGAUACGUAAUGUGAAUUGCAAAUUCAGUGAAUCAUCGAGUCUUUGAACGCAAAUUGCGCCCCCUGGUAUUCCGGGGGGCAUGCCUGUCCGAGCGUCAUUGCUGCCCUCAAGCACGGCUUGUGUGUUGGGCCCCGUCCUCCGAUCCCGGGGGACGGGCCCGAAAGGCAGCGGCGGCACCGCGUCCGGUCCUCGAGCGUAUGUGGCUUUGUCACCCGCUCUGUAGGCCCGGCCGGCGCUUGCCGAUCAACCCAAAUUUUUAUCCAGGUUGACCUCGGAUCAGGUAGGGAUACCCGCUGAACUUAAGCAUAUCAAUAAGCGGAGGA